GAUGAAGACGCAGUGAAAUGCGAUAAGUAAUGUGAAUUGCAGAAUUCCGUGAAUCAUCGAAUCUUUGAACGCACAUUGCGCCCCCUGGUAUUCCGGGGGGCAUGCCUGUCCGAGCGUCAUUACAACCCUCAAGCUCAGCUUGGUGUUGGGCCCCGCCGCCCCGGCGGGCCCUAAAGUCAGUGGCGGUGCCGUCCGGCUCCGAGCGUAGUAAUUCUUCUCGCUCUGGAGGUCCGGUCGUGUGCUCGCCAGCAACCCCCAAUUUUUUUCAGGUUGACCUCGGAUCAGGUAGGGAUACCCGCUGAACUUAAGCAUAUCAAUAAGCGGAGGA
rnacentral:misc_RNA from 1 species